GGAGAAAUGGCCGAGUGGCUUAAGGCGCUCGCCUGCUAAGCGAGUAUACGGUGUUAAACUGUAUCGAGGGUUCAAAUCCCUCUUUCUCCGCCA
rnacentral:tRNA from 1 species